CUAAAAGUCAAAAUAGUAAUAGAGAAAAAGGUUGUCUUUUCCUGUACUUAUUUAAGAAAUUGUUAGGUAUUUUAUGACACUGAAAUAGAGCAAUAAUUGAUGUAUUCAACUAUCCGCCUCUGCAUGAUGAUGUGAAAGUGCAAUUUUUCUCUUUGGCUUAAACCACGAAGAAAGGAAUUGGAUAAUCCACAUGAACAAAAGACAUGGAAAAUUUACCCACCAGAAUUUGCAGUAGAGAUUUUUUUUUUUAUUAGAAAUGACUUAUAGUUACGUUGUAGCUGGUAUCUGAUUAAGUGUAGUUCCCCCUUCCCCUUCUGGGAAAGAAUUAUGUCCUUUCCAACCCCUGCCACAUAGUUAUAUGUUCUAAAUCUUCCUUG
rnacentral:lncRNA from 1 species